UACGUAGGGGGCAAGCGUUGUCCGGAUUCAUUGGGCGUAAAGAGCGUGUAGGCGGCCAGGUAGGUCGGUUGUGAAAACUGGAGGCUCAACCUUCAGACGUCGACCGAAACCAUCUGGCUAGAGUCCGGGAGAGGUAGGUGGAAUUCCUGGUGUAGUGGUGAAAUGCGUAGAGAUCAGGAGGAACACCGGUGGCGAAGGCGGCCUACUGGGCCAGCUCUGACGCUGAGGCGCGAAAGCGUGGGGAGCAAACAGG
rnacentral:rRNA from 1 species